rfam:Nicotiana sylvestris Nsyl_contig20242, whole genome shotgun sequence.
UAGUAUAGUGGUAAGUAUUCCCGCUUGUCACGCGGGUGACUCGGGUUCGAUCCCCGG